AACGGAAACGGUUCUUUCUUCGNACAGUUGUGAAGGUGCUGCAUGGUUGUCGUCAGCUCGUNCCGUGAGGUGUCGGCUUAAGUGCCAUAAMGAGCGCAACCCUUACGGGUAGUUACCAUCAGGUUAUGCUGGGGACUCUACCGGACUGCCGUCGUAAGAUGUGAGGAAGGUGGGGAUGACGUCAAAUCAGCACGGCCCUUACGUMCGGGGCUACACACGUGUUACAAUGGGGGGUACAGAAGGCAGCUACACGGCGACGUGGUGCUAAUYCCGAAAGCCUCUCUCAGUUCGGAUUGGAGUCUGCAACCCGACUCCAUGAAGCUGGAUUCGCUAGUAAUCGCGCAUCAGCYACGGCGCGGUGAAUACGUUCCCGGGCCWWGUACACACCGCCCGUYAAGCCAUGAAAGCYGGGGGUACCUGAAGUACGUAACCGCGAGGAGCGUCCUAGGGUAAAACUGGUGAUUGGGGCUAAGUCGUAACAAGGUAGCCUAAGCUUACA
rnacentral:rRNA from 1 species